UACGUAGGGCGCAAGCGUUAUCCGGAAUUAUUGGGCGUAAAGAGCUCGUAGGCGGUUUUGUCGCGUCUGCCGUGAAAGUCCGGGGCUCAACUCCGGAUCUGCGGUGGGUACGGGCAGACUAGAGUGAUGUAGGGGGAGACUGGAAUUCCUGGUGUAGCGGUGAAAUGCGCAGAUAUCAGGAGGAACACCGAUGGCGAAGGCAGGUCUCUGGGCAUUAACUGACGCUGAGGAGCGAAAGCAUGGGGAGCGAACAGG
rnacentral:rRNA from 1 species